rnacentral:lncRNA from 1 species
CAUAUUUUACCAUUUUUAGCUCACCUGAUCUGAAAGGUCAAGUGAGCUUUUCUCAUCAUUUGGCGUCCGUUGUCCGUCGUCCGUAAAAUUUUACAAAAAUCUUCUGCUCUGAAACUACUGGGCCAAAUUUAACCAAACUUGGCCACAAUCAUCAUUGGGAUAUCUAGUUUUAAAAAGUGUGUGCGAUGACCCGACCAACCAUUCAAGAUGGCCACCAUGGCUAAAAAUAGAACAUAGUAUAGGGUAUAAUGUAGAUUUUGGCUUAUAUCUCUAAACCUAAGCAUUUAGAGAAAAUCUAACAGGGGGGUAAACUUGUUUAUAAGGUCAAGAUCUAUCUGCCCUGAAAUUUUCAGACAAAUCGGACAACCUUUUGUUGGGUUGCUGUCCCCGAAUUAGUAAUUUUAAGGAAAUUUUGCAGAUUUU